GCAUGGAGAUGAUUGGAAACAGAAUAGAUGUAAAAGUAGUUGGUGUACAUGUACAGACCAUAAAGAUGGAGUCCAGGUGGGUUUGAUGCUGCUGGGCAGGCUGACCACUGGGACCUUCUGAGCUCUCCUGGUCCAGUCUUCUGUCAUAUGGAUU